CCUACGGGAGGCAGCAGUGGGGAAUAUUGGGCAAUGGGCGCAAGCCUGACCCAGCAACGCCGCGUGAAGGAAGAAGGCCUUCGGGUUGUAAACUUCUUUUCUGAGGGACGAAGAAAGUGACGGUACCUCAGGAAUAAGCCACGGCUAACUACGUGCCAGCAGCCGGGGGAAUACGUAGGUGGCAAGCGUUGUGCGGAUUUAUUGGGUGUAAAGGGCGUGUAGGCGGGAAGGGAAGUCAGAUGUGAAAACUCAGGGCCAAAGCCUGGGCCUGCCUUUGAAACUGUUUUUCUUGAGUGCUGGAGAGGCAAUAGGAAUGCGGGGUGUAGCGGUGAAAUGCGUAGAUAUA
rnacentral:rRNA from 1 species